rnacentral:rRNA from 1 species
UAAGGGCUCACCAAGGCGACGAUCCCUAGCUGGUCUGAGAGGAUGAUCAGCCACACUGGAACUGAGACACGGUCCAGACUCCUACGGGAGGCAGCAGUGGGGAAUAUUGCACAAUGGGCGCAAGCCUGAUGCAGCCAUGCCGCGUGUGUGAAGAAGGCCUUCGGGUUGUAAAGCACUUUCAGUCGUGAGGAAGGUAGUGUAGUUAAUAGCUGCAUUAUUUGACGUUAGCGACAGAAGAAGCACCGGCUAACUCCGUGCCAGCAGCCGCGGUAAUACGGAGGGUGCGAGCGUUAAUCGGAAUUACUGGGCGUAAAGCGCAUGCAGGUGGUUUGUUAAGUCAGAUGUGAAAGCCCGGGGCUCAACCUCGGAAUUGCAUUUGAAACUGGCUAGA